rnacentral:lncRNA from 1 species
UUGACCAUUGCCUCGCCCAGCUACCGAAUCACUCGUCCAGCUCUGUUGAGCUUGUCUCCGCCUAGUUCUGGUUAAGUUUCAGCCUUUUGAUACCCUUAACCAUGUGUUUGAGCCAUGAUACGCUUGUCUUUAGGUCUGAUGACCUGACUGGUGCGUCUCCUCGCACCAUGGCUCAUCCCAAACGAUCCUAUCUCGGAUCGGGGACAUGACAAUAUACAUUAGCCUUAUGUGUUAAUAACAAUAGUUUCCUAAAACAAGGGAUCGUGAUAUUAACUAUAGAUAGAUGACCAACACGAGUAAUAGACCUUCCUGCCUCUAUGAGCAUGCGACUGCUUCACCAACAUGCAAAGGAAAACCGCAAGCAUAGACUCACCUCCUAGUUGAAGAAACGUCGGGAGCUCUCCAAGCAUCGAUUAGAGGCAGAAUUGCACCGAGACUCCAAGGUAAACGCCACCAAACCACAAACAUAAACCACAACACACACAGACCCGAAUCAAA